GAGCUGGAUCCAGCUGGCACGUGGGCAGGGCUGUCUUGUCAGGGACUGAGGGCUUUUCUCUGUUUUCAAGGUCAGUCUCUGACAGAUGACGGCCAGUAACCUCUGAGCCUCACUGCCGAGGGCCAGCCCACCCACGGCCUCUGUCAAGCUUGGAUAUGAAGCGCGGGGGAAGAGGAGACUCGCUCGUACUGGGUGUGCCCUUGGAACUCUGUUUUCCCAGUUCACACAGAUUCAUAGCCUAUUAUUUUAUGACCCAAAGUACAAAGACUUGCGGGGAGGAAUGAUGGGGAUAGCAGUUUGUCACUGCGCCACAGAAGGAGGCUGCCUGGCUCACAUGUAGGAAGAGCCAUAUCACUGGCACAGGCCUCUGGAUAAUCAUGGAAUAUGCUGAAGUACUCAGCUUCUUGAAUGCAGGCACAGAGAAAACACAGGACUCCUGCCAAAUGAAUGCAGCAUCAAGAGCCAAAUGGCAAUGCAGCAAUGCCCAGUGGAAAAUAAUUUCCAUGGUAGAAGUUUAUACCCCGCAAAACUAUCAACCAAACAUAAGGCUAAAAUCCAUUCUCAAAAAAAAAAAAAAGUUUUAUUUAUUUAUGCCCUGUCUGAGGUAGCUACUGAAGAUUGCUUGCCACCGAAACAAGAUUAAAUCAAGAUAAGGAGAAAAUGUAGAAUAUAGAAAACAAGCAAGCUAGCACAUGAUAGAGGCAAAAGAGUUCCUCAAGAUGAUAAUGAAAAGAGAACUCAAAUUGGAGUAGGUCAGAAAACUCAGGGUUGAGAUUUCUUCUAGAUUAAAUGGAAUUCUUGGAAUGGAAGAACAUAGAGGAUACUGAGACAGCUCAUGAAGACUCUGUGGUUAAAUUAGUAAUCAGUUCAUAGAAAACUGUGGUACCAAAAAGAAGACAAUUAUUAACUCCAAGUAUAACAAAACAUGCAGAAAAAUUCAGAAUAAUCAGAGUAUGCAACGUGGCUGAGUCGUAACUAGCAUUUGUUUAGUUGUAAUAAUGUAAACCAUGCAUAUUGAUCUAACCUAAAUUAUGACAUAUCUGGAAUAGGAAUUUGAGGGAUUGGGAAAUGUGCCUGUGUGUAGUGGAGGCUUUGUGUAAGGGGAGGAAGUGGUGAAAAAAAAUGAACCUCAUCUGCUUUAAGGAAACAUCAAUAGAUAAUAGCUAAAAUGUUUCAAAAAUCAGGAGGAAGAAAUGUAAGCAUAUUAUUUGGAGACACAGUGGCAAAAGUAAUAUCAAGCUAAACGUUUUGGAAGUCAUUGCUGUAGGAAAUGGGAAAUGGGGGGAAGGCAUACAGUACUUCUGGUUUUUAUACAAGUCUUCUAGAACAAUUUGAUGGGUGUAUAACUUUAAUUUUGGAAAUGCAAAUGAAGUAAUACAUGCUUAUUACACCAUUAUUAAUAAUGAUAAAUAUCAUUAUCAUUAAUGAAUAAUAAAUAAAUAGCAGAACCUUGAAUUCA